rnacentral:lncRNA from 10 species
GAAUCUCAUCAAGCUCAGCCACACACCGGUCAGUGGGGAGGCUCCAAUUCCAGGCUGUAGCUCUUGGACGACACUUCUAGACACACCAUGGGACAGAAGGAAACCCAGUGUCUUGAGGGGAAGGACCCAGUCCUGGAAAGAUCCAACACCUGCUGAAUAUAGAGCCCUUGGAUCCUGAAUCACCAGCAGUGAUAGCCAGAACCCUUGGACCCACAGGCCUGACUGUACCUAUGGUGUUCCAGGCACUGGACCAAGCACUCCACAAGCAUUAUCUAAAAGCAACCAAAUGAAGCAGAAGGCCAUGUGUAAACACUGUAAGAAGGCAAGUUGCCUGCAAGCCAGGAAGAGGCGCUCACCAGGAGCUAAUUAUGCUGCCUCCCUGAUCUCAAGACUUUCAGCCUCCAGAACUAUGAGAAAAUAAAUUUCUGUUAUUUAAGCCACUCAUUAUAUGGUAUUUUGUUGUGGCAGCGCAAGAUGACUAAUGCAGGUGCUACCACUGUUAUCAUUUUAAAGAUAAGGAAACUAAAGCUCAAAGAGGCUGUGAGACUCACCUGAGUGCACAGAAUCAUAGGCUGUGACUUGGGGCCUCCUGUGGGUGACUGCAAAGCCCUUAUCCUUAAUCACUGUGCUGUGAGACUAUGCCCACAGUUAACCAGGUGAGAGACUGUCCCCAUAGCAGGGAUAUAAAUACACAUGUUCUAGGGGUUCCCAGUGGGGACAGUGUCCUAUGGAGUGAACGGGAAGAGCCUCCAAUGGAACUCAAACAUAAGCAAGCCUUUGGAGACAGCAAGCAUCCUCAAUGCACCCGAGACUACAUGCUCAUCACUGGACUGUGUCCUGACAAUCUGCUCUUCUCCCAUCACGCUCGCCUCUGAACUCACGCUCUUGUCUUGACAGCCUCCUAUGACCCAUAUUCAAUUCUACACACAUGGAAAGGCACAUGGUCCUCUCUGCCACUCUUGCAUAUCUUUCUCCCUGAUGGUGAGCUCCUUGGGGACCGAAAGGGGAUCUUGCUCAUAUCUAUGCCCCCACUGACUUCCAUGGGCCUGAUACAGAGCUGGCACUUGAUCAACUUUUGCUGAGUUUAACUGAGAAGCGACCUUCUUGAAGCCACCACAUGAAAGGGCCAGCCACGCUACCAAUGUGGAGGAUCAGGACCCAGCUGGUAUUGUGGGCUCUGUAAAUGUCUGCUGGAUCAAGGAAAUUCCACCCACCAGUUUUAAGCAACUAAAAACCAUUUAUAUGUAGAUAUCUUCAAUUUAUUCUCAGACCCAAGUAGUUGUUGGGAAAAAAAAUUACAAAUGACCAAAAGUAAAAAUAAUAAUAAUAAAGACAAGAGAGGAAAACCUCACGCUGGCACACGGUAUGCAUUCAAUGACCGUUUUUUGACCUGCAGAACUCGUUUCCUAUGAACAGAUCCCACAACUAACAAUUCCUACAAAGAGAAACUGAUGCUAGUGUGAAUUGCCAUUCAUAUCUGAGAGGGCAACAUCAGUAUCCUCGUACCUUUCUAAUAAACAUAUGUUAUAUGUGUGCCUACAAUAUAAAGGUUACUGUGACUUAAAAUUCCAUUGAGAGUACCAGAGCAGCUGCUCCUGUCCUGUUCAUCUUACAUACGAAACCACCAUGAACAAUUUGCCUCUGUGGCCAGUGAAUGGCCUGAGCACCUGGCCUUUGAAUGCAGGUUGUCAUACUUCACUUGAGUGAAAUAGCUUUCUCAAGAAAGUCAACGAUUAUUUCAUUUAAACCCCUUCCACCAAACAAUGCAGCCCUGGCCCUCAACACCCAACUCACAACAUUUCUAAAUCUUCCAGACAGACAAAUAACAAAAUAAGAUUCUACCAAGUUUUAAAAAGAUGGUCAGAAUGGUUCUCAAGCUUAACCCACAGAAAGUGCCUGAUCCUGCAAGCUGGUUUAUAUGAAAACGCCAGUACUUUCCUGAGCCCCUCCAUUCAUUUUGAUACCUCAGUGAUGGCAGGAUAAUGAGGAUUUGGAAAACAAGAAUCACUUGGGUCUAUCUCUCCAUUAAUAGACAGGGCUUGAUAUGGUGAGCGAAAGAGUCACAAUGUUUCCAAUCUAUCUCAGUUGCCAUGUAGAAAAACCAAUUAUCCAGAGGCCCCUCUCCCCUGCAGGAAGAUGAGCUCUCUGUGCAUCAAUAUUUCAUGCACUGUCAUCUGUGCAUUAUUUAAUAAAGCAAUUGAAGGGAUGAGUCUAUUUUAUUUUUCCACCUUCCCACCAGAGACACUAGGCCUACAGUGCACACAGUGCUAGAAGUUGGUGGGCAAUCCUAGAGAUAUAUUUGCUGAUUUUUUUGAGGCCAAGGUGCUGUUUCUAGUCUUAACUACACACUCCCAAUGUCUAAUACACUCCUUACCCCAGGGACACCCAAUCUGUGUCUGUGCUAAUGGAGGUGAGCUCACUUCAGAAUCCAGUAAGUGGGAUGCAACUGAUCACCAGGCAUUUACUGAGUGCCAUACUUGGGGGUACAAAGCUUAUAACCCAGGGUCCCUGCCUCCUGGAACCUAAAGGCUGUCUGCAAAGACAAGAUGAAAAUUCAUGGACAGGCAAAAGACAGACUACAAACCAGCUAAGCACAUGGUUGACCAGGACACAAGUGAUGCACAGGGCCUGGCAUGUCAAGGGCACAGAAGAUAUCCAUCUUUUUUAUCCCCUACCCAAUAUCUAACUCCCUUUCUUCUUGCCCCCAAUCUCCCAUUGUGUAUGGUGUUAGUGGGAAUGCAGCUUCCAUGAUGCUUGCCUCUCAUCUCAUAAGUGAAGGUACCAGAUAUUUCUUUUACCUGAGUCCUGGUAUUGCUGUGGGCAGGUACAUGGUCUGAACUCAACACGAGACCUCUUUCUUGGACCUCCAAGUCUUCAAGGAGUGACUCAAAGAAAAUCUCAAGAUCAAAUUCACUACAGCCAAGAAGGUAGCCCUUAGAGUUGACCUUUUCCAAUGUAUGGCCUUCAGCAGGGCCCUCAGAUUCUGCUCAUUGUCCUAGCCCCCUGGUAGUUCUGUGAACCUGUCAUCGUAAUAAAUCAACUUUUUCUUAACCAGAGUUGGCUUCUGUUUCUUGCCACCAAGAUGCUGACUGAUCAAGCAAUAAAGAAUUGUUUGUUGAAAUAGAGAUUGAAGCUGUGAUCCAAUUGCUAUUCCAUUUCAUCACCAGCAGCCUGAACAUGUGCUUAGGGUACCAAAAAUAUUUUUC